rnacentral:misc_RNA from 1 species
AACGCACAUUGCGCCUGCCAGCACUCUGGCAGGCAUGCCUGUCCGAGCGUCAUUUCAACCCUCAAGCGCCCCGUGCGCCUGGUGUUGGGGCUCUUCUGCGCUACCCUUUAGCGGUCGCAGGCCCUGAAAGCAAGUGGCGGGCCCGCCGGUUGGCUCCGAGCGCAGUAAGCACAGAUUCUUUUUUGUCUUCGCUCUGGACGCCCCGGCCGGCGCCCUGCCGUGAAAAGCCCAAAUUUUUUACAAGGUUGACCUCGGAUCAGGUAGGACUACCCGCUGAACUUAA